rnacentral:rRNA from 1 species
CUUGGUGACCAUAGCCAGAGUGGUACACCUCUUCCCAUUUCGAACAGAGAAGUUAAGACUCUGAACGCCGAUGGUACUGCAUGGGCAACUGUGCGGGAGAGUAGGUAGUCGCCAAGU